rnacentral:rRNA from 1 species
GACGAACGCUGGCGGCGUGCUUAACACUUGCAAGUCGAACGGAAAGGCCCUGCUUUUGUGGGGUGCUCGAGUGGCGAACGGGUGAGUAACACGUGAGUAACCUGCCCUUGACUUUGGGAUAACUUCAGGAAACUGGGGCUAAUACCGGAUAGGAGCUCCUGCUGCAUGGUGGGGGUUGGAAAGUUUCGGCGGUUGGGGAUGGACUCGCGGCUUAUCAGCUUGUUGGUGGGGUAGUGGCUUACCAAGGCUUUGACGGGUAGCCGGCCUGAGUGGGUGACCGGCCACAUUGGGACUGAGAUACGGCCCAGACUCCUACGGGAGGCAGCAGUGGGGAAUAUUGCACAAUGGGCGGAAGCCUGAUGCAGCAACGCCGCGUGCGGGAUGACGGCCUUCGGGUUGUAAACCGCUUUCGCCUGUGACGAAGCGUGAGUGACGGUAAUGGGUAAAGAAGCACCGGCUAACUACGUG